UCCAUUGCCAUUCGACGUACUCGAGCGGCGCCGGCUCGCUUACGGCUGUCCCAUACCAAAUCGUCAUCGCUAGGCGGGUCUCAGGCGGAGGAGGAGGCGACGGCGGCGGGUAUCUCACAGCGCCAACCAUAUAGUCCACAGCGUCAUGGUCGUCCCCAGGCGCGUCAUCGGCAAGCGUACGCAGGAUGCGACGGUGGCUCACAGCGCUGCCCAUCAUCCAGCCAGGCGGCGAAGUCAUUCGCUAGCGUAAGUCGGCAGGCCGUCCCAUCGAUCGAAAAGCGGCCGGUGUAUGUCCUGUGCAUAGGCGAAGGCGACGUCACUGAUCAGAUUCAUAGAUGAGGUCAUCGUCCUCCCGACGAUAGCGUAUGGCCAAGGAGUUUCUAAUCGACGGUAAGAGCCACAAGCAGAUCGAGGGGCCAACGCGCUCCUAGCUAGUUAUGUCGAGAAUGAGGAUGCCAUCCUUGUAGAAGAACACGUAAUCCAUAUGGACUGACCGAGGCGAUGCAUGUCCAGGCGAUGGGGGCUGACCGAGGCGGCGGCGUCUCCCGGACGAUGGCAGCGAAUCAGCGAUCCAUCAAUGGUGUAUCCUUCUCCUUUUCCCCCUUUACUUCUUGCAGAACGGAUGUUUUUUUUCCCAUCUCUGUAUGGCAUGCAGCAGAUCGAACUUGCAAUCUUCUGUUUUCUAUUGAUUUCAGAACAGGACGCAGUCAUCCAUUGAAUGAUUAGUUAGGCCCAGAUGCGAUGCGAGCCCCAUGGAUGUACGAGUACGACUACUGCGGCCGGGUGUUUUCAAAAUCGGCGACGGCAUGGCAGCGUGUUAGCACAUCCACCCAUCGGAGAAGCGGAGAUGAUGGCGGCCACCAUCAUCGGGCGUUCCUCGUUGCCAGGCGCCGGUUCCAGCUGCUAAUUACUACCGUUUCCAUGCCGAUGAAGACGAUGCACUAUUUUCUCUAGCUAGUUGGGAUUGAUAUUUUUUUGUGCAUAUUGAUGAUAUACUUAGUAGUAUCAUAACAUAUACUACUUUUGUUUUGAAUAAA